UGGAUCCCAAUUCCAAGAUGCUUCUCGAUGAGAUCGACAAGAAGUUCGCCACGAUGGACAUCGGCGAUUCUAGGAGCUCGCUGACAAGAAGGAAGAGCGGAUCAGCGCUCUUGAGAACGCCAGCGAGGACCUGGCAGCUUGGCGGCCGAAGGUCGAUGCCGCCAUGGACAACAUCAAGUUAGAGAUUCGCAAGCUGAACCAGCACUGGGAGCGCUCUUCUCUAGAGCACCUUGGUGUGGAUUCCGGGACCUCAAGCCCGAGUCGACGCCGCCGCGCUCGUCUGCGGGGAAGCACGUCGACGGCCCUGAUGGGCACCGCCAUGACAACAAUCACCGGGAUCUUGGGUUCGGGUCUGCUACGACCUUUACUCAUGUCCCGGUCAAGGGUUAUAAUACCCGAGAAGACAAGUUUUGUUCAAAGAACUGAAAAAAGGAUGAACUUACUUCAAAGGGUUGAAGAGCAGCAGAAUCUGAGCUUGAAACUUGAGGGGGUUACAUACUAAAGAGAGUGAAAAGAGCUCUCCUUUUGUUAAGGUGGAAUCUGUUAGAUUUAUAUGUACCCUUUAUUUUCCCCAUUGUAUAAGGGGUUUUGUGUAUAUUUGCUAAUACAUGUACAUGUAUAUUUAGGUCUAGAGCUCACGUAUUGAAUACAAAUGUUAUUCGUAACAUGGUAUAGAGCCAAACUAGACGAGAUUUUUCUCCCUGCACGUUGCACUUGCGUGCAUCUCAAUACCAGCCCAACGCAUUGAUUUUACCUGCUCUUUCUUUUGAACACAACGUUGAUUCCUUUUGCCGCCCGUGAUCUGCUCGCCUGGUGCGGGUCGCCCGUUCCACGUCUGCACGCUGCUGUCGCCGUCGUACCGUCGAUCCGCCGCUAUCCUGUGCAUAUUUGUUAAUACAUGUACAUGUUGAAUACAAGUGCUAUUUAUAAUAGAAUCUGUAUGGGGACUUGUAUCAUGUAAAGGGUACAAUAACCUCUUGUGUAGUUAGUAACUUUGUUUAUAUGAUGUUGAUAGUGAAA